rnacentral:rRNA from 1 species
GAUGAACGCUGGCGGCGUGCCUAAUACAUGCAAGUCGAGCGAACAGAUGAGGAGCUUGCUCCUCUGACGUUAGCGGCGGACGGGUGAGUAACACGUGGAUAACCUACCUAUAAGACUGGGAUAACUUCGGGAAACCGGAGCUAAUACCGGAUAAUAUAUUGAACCGCAUGGUUCAAUAGUGAAAGACGGUUUUGCUGUCACUUAUAGAUGGAUCCGCGCCGCAUUAGCUAGUUGGUAAGGUAACGGCUUACCAAGGCAACGAUGCGUAGCCGACCUGAGAGGGUGGUCGGCCACACUGGAACGGAGACACGGUCCAGGCUCCUACGGGAGGCAGCAGUAGGGAAUCGUCCGCAAUGGGCGAAAGCCUGACGGAGCAACGCCGCGUGAGUGAUGAAGGUCUUCGGAUCGUAAAACUCUGUUAUUGGGGAAGAACAAAUGUGUAAGUAACUAUGCACGUCUUGACGGUACCUAAUCAGAAAGCCACGGCUAACUACGUG